AGCAGCCGCGGUAAUUCCAGCUCCAAUAGCGUAUAUUAAAGUUGCUGCAGUUAAAAAGCUCGUAGUUGAAUUUCGGGACCAUCAUGUCGGUCGUGCCUAGGUACGUACUGGCAUUGUUGGUUUCUACCUUCUGACGAACCAUGAUGUCAUUUAUUUGGUGUCGUGGGAAAUCAGGACUGUUACUUUGAAAAAAUUAGAGUGUUUAAAGCAGGCUCACGCUUGAAUACAUUAGCAUGGAAUAAUGAAAUAGGACGUUUGAUUCUAUUUUGUUGGUUUCUAGGAUCGACGUAAUGAUUAAUAGGGAUAGUUGGGGGCAUUAGUAUUCAAUUGUCAGAGGUGAAAUUCUUGGAUUUAUUGAAGACUAACUACUGCGAAAGCAUUUGCCAAGGAUGUUUUCAUUAAUCAAGAACGAAAGUUAGGGGAUCGAAGACGAUCAGAUACCGUCGUAGUCUUAACCAUAAACUAUGCCGACUAGGGAUCGGAUGAUGUUAAUUUUUAAUGA
rnacentral:rRNA from 1 species